AAAAGAAACUAACAAGGAUUCCCCUAGUAACUGCGAGUGAAGCGGGAAAAGCUCAAAUUUAAAAUCUGACAGUUGUUUUGGCUGUCCGAGUUGUAAUCUAGAGAAGUGUCUACCCGCGCUGGACCGUGUACAAGUCUCCUGGAAUGGAGCAUCAUAGAGGGUGAGAAUCCCGUCUUUGACAUGGAUCUACCAGGGCUUUGUGGUGCACUCUCAAAGAGUCGAGUUGUUUGGGAAUGCAGCUCAAAAUGGGUGGUAAAUGCCAUCUAAAGCUAAAUAUUGGCGAGAGACCGAUAGCGAACAAGUACCGUGAGGGAAAGAUGAAAAGAACUUUGGAAAGAGAGUUAAACAGUACGUGAAAUUGCUGAAAGGGAAACGCUUGAAGUCAGUCGCAUCGACUGGAAAUCAACCUUGCUUUUGCAUGGUGUACUUUCUGGCUGAUGGGUCAGCAUCAAUUUUGAUUGCUGGAUAAAGGCUUGGGGAAUGUGGCAUCUUCGGAUGUGUUAUAGCCCCUGGCUGCAUACGGCAGUUGGGAUUGAGGAACUCAGCAUGCCGCAAGGCCGGGUCUUUUUGACCACGUAUAUGUGCUUAGGAUGCUGGCAUAAUGGCUUUAAUCGACCCGUCUUGAAACACGGACCAAGGAGUCUAACAUGCAUGCGAGUGUUUGGGUGGAAAACCCAUGCGCGCAAUGAAAGUGAAAGUUGAGAUCCCUGUCGUGGGGAGCAUCGACGCCCAGACCAGACCUUUUGUGACGGAUCUGCGGUAGAGCAUGUAUGUUGGGACCCGAAAGAUGGUGAACUAUGCCUGAAUAGGGUGAAGCCAGAGGAAACUCUGGUGGAGGCUCGUAGCGAUUCUGACGUGCAAAUCGAUCGUCAAAUUUGGGUAUAGGGGCGAAAGACU
rnacentral:rRNA from 1 species